GAUGAACGCUGGCGGCGUGCCUAAUACAUGCAAGUCGAGCGAAGCGGGGACGGGUGAGUAACAUGUGGAGAACCUCCCAUAAGACUGGGAUAACUUCGGGAAACCGGAGCCAAACCGGAAACUUAUAGAUGGAUCCGCGCUGCAUUAGCUAGUUGGUAAGGUAACGGCUUACCAAGUCAACGAUGCAUAGCCGACCUGAGAGGGUGAUCGGCCACACUGGAACUGAGACACGGUCCAGACUCCUACGGGAGGCAGCAGUAGGGAAUCUUCCGCAAUGGGCGAAAGCCUGACGGAGCAAUGCCGCGUGAGUGAUGAAGGUCUUCGGAUCGUAAAACUCUGUUAGUAGGGAAGCGUUACCUAAUCAGGAAGCCACGGCUAACUACGUGCCAGCAGCCGCGGUAAUAC
rnacentral:rRNA from 1 species